GUAAACGGAAAAAGCCGCCUUGCGGCGGCUUUUUCCGUCCGAUUAGAAGUCUUCGACCUCUUCUAAUCGACUGUGGUAACUGGCUUGAUGGAGCACAGAUACCAAAUGCUGUCCUUCCAGUGUAGCCGCUAUAAGGCUUCAACUUCAAGAGUUCUGCGUAUCUAAAUCCACUAUCCAGUUACCAAUGGCUGCUGCCAGUGGCGUUAAGUCGUGUCUUACCGGGUUGGACUCAAGACGAUAGUUACCGGAUAAGGCGCAGCGGUCGGGCUGAACGGGGGGGCGUGCACACAGCCCAGCCUAGAGGACUCGACUUA
rnacentral:misc_RNA from 1 species